rnacentral:rRNA from 1 species
UACGUAGGGUGCGAGCGUUGUCCGGAGUUACUGGGCGUAAAGGGCACGCAGGCGGUGCGGCGCGUUUCGCGUGACAGCGGAGGGCUUAACUCUCCGAGGAUGCGAAAGACGGCGGCACUUGAGGGCCAGAGAGGGACACGGAAUUCCGGGUGGAGUGGUGAAAUGCGUAGAGAUCCGGAGGAACACCGAAGGCGAAGGCAGUGUCCUGGCCGGUGACUGAUGCUGAGGUGCGAAAGCUAGGGAGCGAACGGG